UCUAGCCAGGUUUGAGUCAGUUAGAAACUCGACUGGAAUUGACCAGCCUUCUAGUCUUAGUAAUGAAAGACAAGAGCCCUUACAGCAAUGUCUAAAUUGUUCUUCCACGGCACUGUUUCUCCCUGGUGCAGGACUGGAUUUUAAUGAAUCUUAAAGGACUGAGGAUCUGCGUAAAGAUUUGCAAAUAAGCUAAGGCUAGUAGGACAGCAUUAUGCUUGAAGUGACAGAAAACACCAGACUGCUGAAAGGCUGUGGAGGGCAGGAGUCCUGUUAGUUCAUUACAUUCCCAACAUAGAAAUGCAUCUCUCACAUCCAGCCGGCUAACAGUGAGGUUCGUUGGAGCCAGGACCAAUAAAUCUAGUCACAGCACGGGUUAUCGUCACUGUGGCCACUGUGCAACAGAGGUCUAGAGAAAUUGAGGGGGAACAAAUGUGCCAACAACCCCAGGACCAGCAGCAACCUCCAGCUGCUGCUGAACGGCCUCCAUAUGAAGAAGUCACAGUUGUAGGUCUCUUUAGAUGCAGAGGAAGCAGAGGAGGGUCAGAGUCUAUUGCCCUCAAUGCUAUUUCCUCCAGAUGACUGAGCCACAGAGCCAGUGCAGACUGCAGAUGUCCUGGGAUACUGUUACAGAACUGAGUAUUCUCCUGAAACAGGACUUGUGAUCUGAAGGAUGGAUAGCCAUCCUGUCCUGGCGGCCACUAAGGUGACAGCUGCACUAAAUUCUUACGGAAUUUGCUGCUUCCAAGGAUCCAUUGGGGACCUGUGUGAAAUCAUAGUCCUUAACCCUCAAAUGUUUCAAAGCCAAUGAAAUUUGUGCAGUUGUACCUCUUCAUCUUGUUUACCUGUAUAAGGUCAGUGCUACAGCCUGAGGAGUAGGCUUUGCCAAAACAGUUGCUUGUCUCUAUGUGCAGUUUGCAAUGGAAUGUUGGGAGAGCCAUAUACUGCUGUGGUACACUUUACCAAUAGAAGAGGCUUCCAUUUAGUAAAUGUAUGUCAUCUGUGAUCAUCAAUACCACAUCUUAGAGGUCUGCGCCAAAUACCACUGAAGCUGCCAUUAUACCUAUAUCCUGACAUCCCUCAUGCCAAACUUCAUUUCAAGAACUGAAUGUCUUUCAAGAAGAGACAAGGGCUUUUCUCUGUAACCUUGGCUGAUGACAGCAUUGUGCAACCAGAGAUCAAGUGUAGAUAUAAUGCAGGCCAUACUUCCUCCAGGAACAUCGUGGAACAGACGAUAGGCCUCCUGAAGAUGAGAAUCGGUCCGCAGGUGCCUUGUAGAGCAUAAUCCUAGCAUGCUGGGCUCUGCACAACUAGAACAGGCAACAAGGGCAUAUAAUGGACACCAAAGAGCAGCAGUUAUCCAAACAGGAAGAUGAGGACAAUGAGCAGGACAGUGUCAGCUUCAGUGUGACACAGCUUGAUGUGGCAAGUCAGAUAGGACUAAAUCAACACCCACUUCCAAUGGAUGCGGGUUGGGUGAAGUCAUCUUUCAUUGACUGUAAAUUUGUUGUCAUUUCAAAGGCAAGCAGGCACAUUUUAUUCCUAGAAGUGAAUGCAGCUCUUCUUGUUUUG